UGGGGAAUAUUGCACAAUGGGGGAAACCCUGAUGCAGCGACGCCGCGUGAAGGAUGAAGGAUUUCGGUUCGUAAACUUCUAUCAGCAGGGAAGAUAGUGACUGUACCUGACUAAGAAGCCCCGGCUAACUACGUGCCAGCAGCCGCGGUAAUACGUAGGGGGCAAGCGUUAUCCGGAAUUACUGGGUGUAAAGGGUGCGUAGGCGGUUUGUUAAGCCAGAUGUGAAAGCCCGGGGCUCAACCUCGGGACUGCAUUUGGAACUGGCCAACUAGAAUACAGGAGAGGUAAGUGGAAUUCCUAGUGUAGCGGUGAAAUGCGUAGAUAUUAGGAGGAACACCAGUGGCGAAGGCGACUUACUGGACUGUUAUUGACGCUGAGGCACGAAAGCGUGGGGAGCGAACAGG
rnacentral:rRNA from 1 species